rnacentral:lncRNA from 1 species
UCUACAGUAAUGUUUUGACUGAUAUUCUACAGUAAUGUUUUGGACUGAUAUUCUACAGUAAUGUUUUGACUGAUAUUCUACAGUAAUGUUUUGACUGAUAUUCUACAGUAAUGUUUUGGACUGAUAUUCUACAGUAAUGUUUUGACUGAUAUUCUACAGUAAUGUUUUGGACUGUUCUACAGUAAUGUUUUGACUGAUAUUCUACAGUAAUGUUUUGACUGACAUUCUACAGUAAUGUUUUGGACUGAUAUAAUACAGUAAUGUUUUGACUGAUAUUCUACAGUAAUGUUUUGGACUCAUAUAUUACAGUAAUGUUUUGACUGAUAUUCUACAGUAAUGUUUUGGACUCAUAUAUUACAGUAAUGUUUUGACUGAUAUUCUACAGUAAUGUUUUUUACUUAAAUUUUACAGUAAUGCCUACUUGGUACUCUCAAAGCACUAGUUUAAUAUGUCAUUUUCACGUUGGAUUCUCCCGGUAAAGAACUGUAAACAACCAGCACGGAAAAUAUGUAUUGUAUAACACCGAUUGUAAUACUGUAAAUGUUUGUGUGUUUAAAUAUACAGUGUGUUUGUUUUUACCGUAGCCUAGCGUGCCAGGCUCACAGCAUGACAACAGGAAUUAUAUUAAUUUGUUUAAUUCUUCCAUUAAAAUAUAUAUAUAUAUUAUUUUAUACUACACUUCAUGACUCAGUGGUUGUACAUUUAAACGUUGACAGGAAGACGCUUCAGGAAAAAAAGGCGUUUAAAAAAAAUACUAAACUCAAAACCCACAAGUUUUUUAAUCACACCUAUGAAUUAGUCCUUAUUAUAUUUAUCUUAAUGUGGAUGUAGAUUUUCUCUUCUCUAACUGAGUCUUAACGUAGUGUUUCCAACGGCUCUGAGACGUCCAUUUAUUAGCGUUGUGCUGUUGAAGGUAUCAGCAGAAGAGCUGCUGUGUGUAUUUCACUGUGUUGUGCUGUUGAAGGUAUCAGCAGAAGGGCUGCUGUGUGUAUUUCACUGUGUUGUGCUGUUGAAGGUAUCAGCAGAAGGGCUGCUGUGUGUAUUUCACUGUGUUGUGCUGCUGAAGGUAUUAGCAGGAGGGCUGCUGUGUGUAUUUCACUGUGUUGUGCUGUUGAAGGUAUCAGCAGAAGGGCUGCUGUGUGUAUUUCACUGUGUUGUGCUGCUGAAGGUAUUAGCAGGAGGGCUGCUGUGUGUAUUUCACUGUGUUGUGCUGUUGAAGGUAUUAGCAGAAGGGCUGCUGUGUGUAUUUCACUGUGUUGUGCUGUUGAAGGUAUCAGCAGAAGAGCUGCUGUGUGUAUUUCACUGUGUUGUGCUGUUGAAGGUAUCAGCAGAAGAGCUGCUGUGUGUAUUUCACUGUGUUGUGCUGUUGAAGGUAUCAGCAGAAGGGCUGCUGUGUGUAUUUCACUGUGUUGUGCUGUUGAAGGUAUCAGCAGAAGGGCUGCUGUGUGUAUUUCACUGUGUUGUGCUGUUGAAGGUAUCAGCAGAAGGGCUGCUGUGUGUAUUUCACUGUGUUGUGCUGUUGAAGGUAUUAGCAGAAGAGCUGCUGUGUGUAUUUCACUGUGUUGUGCUGUUGAAGGUAUUAGCAGAAGAGCUGCUGUGUGUAUUUCACUGUGUUGUGCUGUUGAAGGUAUUAGCAGAAGAGACAGACGGGAUGUUGUUGAGAGUGUUCGUCCGCCACACGGUUGUAAACAAGAAUGUAACAUGUUAUGUUUUAUUUUGAUCUACCUUCCGUGAUACAUGGGAUAAUGAUAGAUUAAAGAAAUGUAUUAUCUCUCUCUCUUUCUCUCUCUCUCUCUUUCUCUCUCUCUCUUUCUCUCUCUCUCUCUUUCCCUCUCUCUCUGUCUCUCUCUGUCUCUCUCUCUGUCUCUCUCUCUCUCCUCUCUCUC